rnacentral:rRNA from 1 species
GAUGAACGCUGGCGGCGUGCCUAAUACAUGCAAGUCGAGCGAACAGACGAGGAGCUUGCUCCUCUGACGUUAGCGGCGGACGGGUGAGUAACACGUGGAUAACCUACCUAUAAGACUGGGAUAACUUCGGGAAACCGGAGCUAAUACCGGAUAAUAUAUUGAACCGCAUGGUUCAAUAGUGAAAGACGGUUUUGCUGUCACUUAUAGAUGGAUCCGCGCCGCAUUAGCUAGUUGGUAAGGUAACGGCUUACCAAGGCAACGAUGCGUAGCCGACCUGAGAGGGGGAUAGGCCACACGGGAACUGAGACACGGUCCAGACUCCUACGGGAGGCAGCAGUAGGGAAUCUUCCGCAAAGGGCGAAAGCCUGACGGAGCAACGCCGCGUGAGUGAUGAAGGUCUUCGGAUCGUAAAACUCUGUUAUUAGGGAAGAACAAAUGUGUAAGUAACUAUGCACGUCUUGACGGUACCGAAUCAGAAAGCCACGGCUAACUACGUG